rnacentral:rRNA from 1 species
CACCCACACGGGCACCCAGCAGUGAUAAAUAUUAAGCAAUGAGUGAAAGCCGCUUAAGCUCGACUUAGUUAUGAUCAUUAGGGCCGGUAAACCUCGUGCCAGCCACCGCGGUUAUACGAGGGGCCCAAAACAACAGACACCGGCGUAAAUUGUGGCUAGAGCACCUUCUUACAACGCUGAAAAAUGAACAAAAACCUGAUCGUAAAAUCUAGGUUAAAAGAAACACAUACUUUCAGCUAUAAAGAAACUUGAACCCACGAAGACUAAGAAACAAACUAGGAUUAGAUACCCUACUAUGCUUAGUUGUUAACAUGACACCAAAAAACACCACUGUCCGCCAGAGAAUUACACGCGAAAAGCUUAAAACUCAAAGGACUUGGCGGUGCUCCAUAUUCGUCUUAGAGGAGCCUGUCCUAUAAUCGAUAACCCACGCUUUACCUUACCAUCUUUUGUUAAAACAGCCUAUAUACCGCCGUCGCAAACUUACCCCAUGAGGGCACAACAGUAAGUAAAAUAGUAACACACUAACACGUCAGGUCAAGGUGUAGCUAAUAAGAUGGAAGAGAUGGGCUACAUUUUCUAAAAAAGAACACAC